AUUUCGAAACAUAUAAAAAGGGUAAUAAAUAUUUUUUUAUCUAGAAAUAAAUUUACACAAACAUGUAAUUGCACAUGAAGCAGAUGAAAAACAUACUUUUUAGCAUCAACUUAAAAAGCUGCAUUUAGUAUUAAUGAUCAAAAUUAGACUACUAUCAGUUACUAUUUUCAGAACAUAAUCACAUUAUUAUUUUUUUUUUAAAGCAAACCUAUACCGUUGCCUGUAUUUUGCUCAUUCGAAAUUGUGUAUUACAAGAAUCGUAAAAAGGUUUACAAAAAAGAGGCGUAAUAUGUAAACCUUUUAAUGGGGCAUUUUAAAAGAAGAAAAUACAAAAAUUGAAGAGAUACUAAAGUUAAAUUUCGGAUAUUGAUGAAUAAGCGAUAGAAAAAGAUAUAUUAAGCAUUUGCAAAUUUUGUAGUGGUGGACUUGUUUUUACAAAGACUAUACAGGACCUUUCAGAUGAAAAUUUACACAAGAUUCUUUUCUACUGUGAUUUAAAUUUUUUUUCUUCCUUUUACUAUAAUGUAGAUGUUUUUCAGCUAAAUUUUAAACAUUAAAUCAAUCAAAGAAUUUUUUUGCUAUUAUCAUUAUUUUACCGUUAUAUUAUUUUAAACAUAAUUGAAAUAAAAAAUUUAUAUACUUGUCUCAAAUUUCAGUCAAAUAAUUCAAAAUUAAAGUAAUAAACACAAUUCUGAUAAUAUAAAUGCUCGCAAACUUAAAAUAUUGUUUAUUGUCAGUGCUAAAAGAAAAUUGCUUCUAAUAUCAUAUCUUUACAUUUUAAUGCAAUUAAACGAAUACAAAACAUUUUGUAACAAAUCUAUUAAUGCAAUGAAUGGUGACCUUCAUAUAAAAGAAGAAAACAAAUGCCAAGAACAAAUUAAUAAAUAAAUCUUAGAGCACAUUAUUAUUUACACAAAAGACUUAUCAUUUAUUAAAGAUAAAAGAAAAUUCAUGAAAAAUGAAAAGAAACCAAAUUUUUAAAUACAUUCAACAGUUUCAUAAGGAGGAAAGUAAGUACUAUUAAGUUUUUUCAACAUUAUAUCUUAUAGAGUUUCAUCAAUGCUCAUAUAUCUGCCAACCCACUUUUUCUAUUAUUCUAAAAAUUUAUUGCAAAGUUGCAGAAUAAGUACUUGACCUUUUUUUCUGAAUUUUUAAAUUCUUAUUUGAGUUAACAAUGAAUAAGAAUAAAAAAAAUCAUGUUAAACAUUACAACUAUUUCAAUAAGUAACUAUUUAAUUUCAAAACUAAACAUACUAAGAAAUAAACUUCAUCCAAUUAUAAAAGCAAUAAAUUUUUACCAUUAUCCUUUUACAUAAACAUCUCUACAAUCUUUUGGUGAAACACAAUUUUAAAAAAAUAUUUGUUAUUAAAUACGUUUUUAUUCUUUGUUCAAAACAGCAAUAAUGCUUAUAAUUUUUUUAUUACUUUUAUUUUUAAGAAAUCUUUCUAUUAAUUUUUAAAAAAAAUCUUGUCUGUUUAAUAUAUCUUUCCAUGAAUUUACCACCAUUUAGAAUUUAUUCUUUCAAUUGGAAGUCUUUAUUUUUGUUUUUAGUUUUCUAUUUAUUAAAUUAUAAAAUCUUAAACAAUUAGGUAGAUUAAAUUUAAUGAAACCUUAGAUAUUCUUAUGUUUAAAUCUAAAAUUACUUGUGGGGUAGGUGUUUCUCUUUGUUUGAAAAGUGCAUGAAUGUCUUUGAAACAUUAAUUUUAAACUCAUGUAGUGUUCUCAUUAUAAUUUGUUUUUGUAAUUUUUUUGUACCAUUUCAUUAGUUUUUAAAAGAGCUUUAAUUGUUUUAAAAUUAAUGGCUUUCUUACUGCUUUAAAUUAUUUUUUUUAUGUAAUAUCGUCUUUUUAAAAUCUUUUCCAUUAAAGGGAAAUCAAAUUUUUUUCAACUAUUUCUGAGGCAUCCAAAGAGCUUCAAAGGAGACUUUUUGAACUAAUUCUGGAAAUUCCAUGAAUCGUGGUGCUCGAGGAAAUGCUUCUGGUUUCCACUUAUCUAACUUAAACAGGAUUGCUGAUACAAAAUCAAACAUAAACCAGAAUAUGACUUUACUGCAUUAUAUUAUUGAUACUUUAGAGAAAAAAUUUAAAGACGUUUUAAAACUUGAAGAAGAUAUUCAUCAUGUUCGACUGGCAGCAAAAGUCAACCUCAAUGAGUUCACAAAAGAAAUACGGAGCCUGAAAUUUGGAAGUACAAAAGGGUGGCAGAAAUAUACAUUACUGCAAAAUAGUUUGUGAACCACCCUGGUGUUAUUAUUUGAACCAAUUUUUGACUGGCUUUCCUCUGCAGGGCCUCAGAAUCAUGCCCAAAAGAGGUCUGGAUGUUUUGCGAGGUGAAGAAUUUUGUUUCUACAAACUACAUGCUGUCAAACCACUCUGAAACUAUUUCUAUGAUUCUGCCGAGAAAAAUUUAAAUUUUUAUUGGCAACACUUUGGGUGAAGAUUUUGACUAGGAUCAUUAAAGUGUGUAUUAAUCAGAAGCGUUUAACAUGUCAUGAUGCCAUCUUGCCCAAUUUGUCUUCACAUUUCAACUGCUGCAAAGAUGUGUGGACAUGUUUUUUGCUCUCCCAGCAUUCUACUUUAUUUGGCUUUAACUGAUAAAUCUUGGCAAAAAUGUUCUAUUUGUUUUGAAGCAGUGCAUAAAAUGGAUUUAAAAAGUGUUUCCAUAAAACUAUGCAAGUUCUGUAACUGUUGGAGAUGAAAUUAAAUUAUGCUUAAUGAAAAGAUAGAAAGGAUCACUGGUUUCUUUACCAGUUUCUAUUGAAAAUGCUCAUAUAGCUAUAUUUACUGUCAAUGACGAUAUGUAUUUUUUUUUUUUAUAAAUAAUUUUUUACAAUAAUUUGUUACAAUUUAAUGUAUUUGUUACAAUAUAAUAUAUUUGUUACAAUAAUGUUUUACAUUUGGUGUUGGGUAAUUUCAAAUUCUUGCCCUUUUUGAUUAGUUAUCAGCAAUCAAUUGUAUAUUUUUUUUUAAAAAAAAAAACUGAACAACUUGUGCAGGAGGAAAGGAGACAUGCGGCAGAAAUUAGCCUGCUGCGACUUAUGUCAUUACAUAAGUAAUUAGAAAUAUAAAAUCAGUAUGAAAACGCUCAUUGAAUUAGUAUUUAUAAAUAUCUUCAUGAGCAGAAAAAUAAAAACUUCGUUAAUGGAUUAAAAAAGACUGAGAAACUUCUGAGUCACCCCCGCCCCCAUCAUAAAUUCAGUUCGUUAUUAGAAAAAGCGAAAUGCAUUAAAAAGUAAAAAUGAUCAUUGAAUAAAAAUAAAAUAUUAAUAAGUAGUAAAUUGCAUAUUUUUUUAAAAAAAAUAAACAUUCUAUUUUAAUAUUUUUUAACAAUGACUAUUAUUUCUUAACAAUUAAUAUUAUUUCUUAAUAUUAUAUCUUUGCAAAAUAAUGGUUAAAAAUGAUGAACGGCUGCAUUGAAUGUAAAAAGAAAACCAGGAUUUGCGCAAUUAAACGAAGGCAUGUGUACAUAAGUGAGAGAGAUUCUCCAUCACUUUAGGAUUCAUCAUGUCAGCGACAGGAUGAGUCAUCAUAAAAGAAACACAGGGGAAAAUAAUAAUCAUUGCCACAACUAUCACUGUUCACUUGCAAUCGAAAAUUACUCUUUAUGCAAACUUGCAGUCGUAGAUGCCAUGAUUGGGAAAAGUGAUCUUUGCCAAACUUGUAACCAUCGAUGUACUAUUGUAAACAGUCAAUAAAAGUUUUUCCUCUACUGUUUUUCAAGUUUUCACUGUUUUUUAAGCCGCUACUGGUUUCUUGCGUACAACAAUGACCCCCCCCCCUUCAAGAGCGUUGUACUCAUUGAUUAGAGGAAAUCAUGCUGUCUACACAAAUGUGUUGCUACCACCUUUAGUGGAAAUGACUAAAUAGCUCUUCUAAGCUUUGUUUUGUAAUUUAAGCAGCAGAUUUUCUGUCCAGUCCAGGGGCUCAACGCUUGAUGGGUGUUAAAUUUUAUUAAUUUCCCCUAGUCUCCAAAUUUUAUUAUAUUUUAAAAAUCUCCCUAAAGUUAGAAAAAUGUCUGAAAAAACCCUUAGCAUAAAAGGCUUUUUUUUCUUAUCUCAUUAUUUGCUUAAGAAUAUAUGUGUGUAAUGUGAACUAUUAAAUAAUAAUAUUUAAUUAAGAGAAUGUUCUAGGUGAUUCCAGAAAUUACUUAUGGCUGGUCAGAAGGAAGUCUUUUCUGUCAUUGAAAGAGAGAGAGCUGCUUAUGAAAUGAUCACUCCAGAGGCUUGCUUUAUGGAAUCUGCCUUUACGCUACUUCAUGAAAGGGAUAUUGCUUUAAACCAGAAUGUAGAUCAACUAAAGGAGCUCAUUUAUAGAAGCAAUGGUAAUGUACCAGAGAGAAAACAUCUUAUUUCAACAAGUUUAACUGAGUCUUAUGAAGAAUUACAUGAAAG